CCUACGGGUGGCAGCAGUAGGGAAUAUUGCUCAAUGGGGGAAACCCUGAAGCAGCAACGCCGCGUGGAGGAUGAAGGUUUUCGGAUUGUAAACUCCUUGUGUUAGAGAAGAGAAGGACGGUAGCUAACGAAUAAGCACCGGCUAACUCCGUGCCAGCAGCCGCGGUAAUACGGAGGGUGCAAGCGUUACUCGGAACCACUGGGCGUAAAGAGCGCGUAGGCGGGAUAGCAAGUCAGAUGUGAAAUCCUAUGGCUUAACCAUAGAACUGCAUUUGAAACUGUUAUUCUAGAGUAUGGGAGCGGUAGGUGGACUUCUUGUUGUAGUGGUCACAUCCGUAGAGCUCACG
rnacentral:rRNA from 1 species